CUUGCUUCUCUUGAGAGCGGCGGACGGGUGAGUAAUGCCUAGGAAUCUGCCUGGUAGUGGGGGAUAACGUUCGGAAACGGACGCUAAUACCGCAUACGUCCUACGGGAGAAAGCAGGGGACCUUCGGGCCUUGCGCUAUCAGAUGAGCCUAGGUCGGAUUAGCUAGUUGGUGGGGUAAUGGCUCACCAAGGCUACGAUCCGUAACUGGUCUGAGAGGAUGAUCAGUCACACUGGAACUGAGACACGGUCCAGACUCCUACGGGAGGCAGCAGUGGGGAAUAUUGGACAAUGGGCGAAAGCCUGAUCCAGCCAUGCCGCGUGUGUGAAGAAGGUCUUCGGAUUGUAAAGCACUUUAAGUUGGGAGGAAGGGUUGUAGAUUAAUACUCUGCAAUUUUGACGUUACCGACAGAAUAAGCACCGGCUAACUCUGUGCCAGCAGCCGCGGUAAUACAGAGGGUGCAAGCGUUAAUCGGAAUUACUGGGCGUAAAGCGCGCGUAGGUGGUUUGUUAAGUUGGAUGUGAAAUCCCCGGGCUCAACCUGGGAACUGCAUUCAAAACUGACUGACUAGAGUAUGGUAGAGGGUGGUGGAAUUUCCUGUGUAGCGGUGAAAUGCGUAGAUAUAGGAAGGAACACCAGUGGCGAAGGCGACCACCUGGACUAAUACUGACACUGAGGUGCGAAAGCGUGGGGAGCAAACAGGAUUAGAUACCCUG
rnacentral:rRNA from 1 species